ensembl:ncRNA lncRNA:CR46489 long non-coding RNA:CR46489
CAGUCAACGCGUCGAGUUGCGAAAGUGCGUCGAAAAAUUUUAACUUGCGGUCAUACGGAAUUUUUUUGUCGCGCGAAAUAUCGAAAAUACGGCGUUCCUUCGCCUAUAGUGGUGCGCGAAAUAAGUCCGGCUUGUGUUUCCCGGCGAUAUACAGCCGAAGAGAUCGGCGUUCGUCACGGCCAUCUCACGGCCGCCUGGCCGCCAAAUCCUAGCUUCGACUGGGUCAAAUUGCAGCCGAAAUUGAAGCCCGGAGGGUUUUCGCUGGACAUCUUAUACUUUCGCAUCACUGCCCGGGUCCCACAAUUUUUCGGAGCCGCUACCGGCGGGCAGAAGGAGAGACGGCAACUGCGCCAGGCGAGUAGUGGAGCGCCUUUCCAGCAGGCCGGAGCGAAGGACCAGCCGCAGCAGCAGGCCGGAGCGAAGGACCAGCCGCAGCAGCAGGACAGCGACCGCCCUAAGCCGGGGCCAUCAGGAAGGAUCAUUAAACAAAGAAAAAUGCAGCCUAAGUAGAGCUUAGAGUGAGGUUAGAGUGAAUGGAAAAUUUUCUUUUGCUUGAUUGGCAGUCCAGAAUGCCCGAAAUUAAAUUAAAUCAAAGUUAAAUCGAGCAAAAUUUCUAAUUAUACAAAAAAAAAUGCUGAAAGACAGACCUAACCUUACUAAAUCACGCGCCGACCGAGGGGCGUUGCCGUGUAUCCUGAGAAUCGAUUCGCAAGAAGAUGGACGCUAGAAAAGAGCAAAUUGCAAUGAGCAAUGAGCAAAUAAUAUUGUAGAUAUAAAUGUUAUCUAAUCUUAUCUGAUCUAAUUAUUAUAUAAAAACUUGGAAUUGUUUUUUUUAAGAGCGGCAGAGAGUAAAGAUUACAGAUAAAAUCUAUGUUGAGGCAAUGAGCUUUUUCAUUGACUGGAGAAGUGGUUUGGCAAUUUAUAAACAUGGUAAAAUUAAUGUUUCAAUUAUGUAUAUGUAUGUAUAUGUAAUAUAUGUAUAUGUAUUUAUUAUGAAUGUAUAAAAAGAACGGCGGCAGUGCCCGUACCGAACCGAUAAAGAGGUAAAGUGCAUUACAGCAGAAGGCAAAUGAGCAAGUUUCACAAAAUAAAGAUUUAAACAGUUGUGCUUGCUCUCUAUUGAGAGAGGGGAACAUAGCACAAAGGGGAAUGUAAAAUCUAUUGCUGAACAGAGCAAUGUGUAAGAGUAAUAAAAUAAAAUACCUUAAAUUUAUGAUGAGCUGCUACUGGCUGCGGGAUGCAUAACCAAACAUCCUCCCGCCGUUGGAGGAUACGGGCUGACAACAUCAUCCUGUUUGGGUAGAACGCAAAGUUGAGCGACGGCUCUAUUCAUCAGCGGCCAAAAAGGCAGGACCAACAGCUCGGUAAAAAUGAUACUUUGCUGUUUUGACAGCCGCCUUCCAGAGGACUCCAAAAUGCGGCGAUCGAGGAGGGAUGAACCGCCAUUCAAUGCUAUCAGUCAAGCAGAAUUCAUGUACUGCAGUUUGAUUGUGAUGUGUUCAGGAACAAACGCUUAAGAUUCUUCGAUGCAGGAGUGGAGAGAUCCUGAACCAGCUCAAGGUGAACAGCCUUUGUAGAAAAGCAGGUAAAGAUGCAGAUAUAGCACUUGAUCGGUGCUUUGUUCCGAACAGGAUUUUAAUAAAAUGGAUCGCAAAAGUACAGACCAGUGACAUUGAAGGAAUGUGAAGCUGUUACGCGGUCCUCAGAAAGAUCACCCAUAAUGUGACAAGCUAUAUGUUGCUUGGCUCGAAGGCAUAUGAUGUAUUUGCUGAAUGCACUUGCAGUUGUCUUGCGACCGUCAAUUGGCCAGAACUGCAGUCGAAUGGAAGCGAGUAGUGCGCGAGGUCCAGAAUGCAGAUUGCGACGAUGAUAGUCGAGUAUAAUGGCACGAGUGACUGGGUGCUGACGUG